AGGGCAAUCGCUGCAGACAGCUCUGUAGAGGAAAGUCCAUGCUCACACUGCCUGAGAUGGCAGUAGUGUUUGUGCUGAAUGAAUAAAUAAGUUCAGGCGUAGACGGCGAUACCGACUCCUAAGGGAAACUAUGGACUAGGUAUCCUAAGGUGCCACAGUGACGUAGCUUAUCAGGAAACUGGUAAGGUGGAACGAGGUAAACCCCACAAGUGAGAAACCCAAAUUUGGUAGGGGAACCCGAUGCUUCGAAAUGAAGAGGCUAGGGACGCCGCAAGGCGUAGAUAAAUGGUUGCCCCUGGUAACAGGACAGAACAUGGCUUACAU
rnacentral:RNase_P_RNA from 1 species